ensembl:snoRNA
CAGCAUGUUUCCAAGAGCUGUGGCCAUUCAUGGCCAAGCUAGAGCAUCCUAAAGAGACUUCGAAAAAACAGGUCAGCAUAAUACCUGCAACUGCCACUCACCUGCCUAUAACA